rnacentral:tRNA from 1 species
UCUUCCUUGGUCUAGUGGUCAUGAUUUCCGCUUGUCAACAGCAAGUCUGUCGUCAAGCGCGGGAGACCGGGGUUCGAUUCCCCGAGGGAGAG